rnacentral:lncRNA from 1 species
CACAACCGCGAGCCAGGCGGGGCCUCCGUCCAGAGCGCGCACCCGUGUGGACACAGCGGGGCCUCCUCACCGGUGAGGAGGGAGAGCAGAGAGCGCGCGGGCGGCGCUCGGGCCGGGCGUGGCUUGGGGUUUCCGCUCCUCCCGUCUCUGUUGGAGGCAAACCUCCCUCACGCUGGGUGGCGGGAGCCCUCCGCGCCCACACCCGCAGAGCCGCGGGGAUGGCGGCUUCUGGGGUCCCCCGGGCCGUCCCUGCACGGGGCUCACCUGCUCGACGGCCCCGCCCGCUCCGGGGGCGGACUCAGAGCUGCGCAUGCGCAGCUGCUCCUCCUGGGCUCCUCGGCCGAAGCCGCUUCCCUGGUGAGACCUCCGCGGAGGGCGCAGCUCCGGAAGUCGCAAAGUCUGCAUAACCUAAUUCGCCAUCUUACCGGCGUAAAGCCAGAAGCCACUGCUGAGCUCCAGACCUCGGCUGGCGGUCGUCCUGCCCGAGCCCCGUGCCGCCAGGUCGCCAGCCUCUCCCGGCCACACAGCAAAGCACGAGCCUCCCCACGUGUGCUCCGCGCGGGCCUCCGCACCGGUGCCCACCUCCACAGGCCUUGCUCACCCAGCAGACCGCGACAUUGAGACUCAGGCACAAGGGGACAGCUGCCAGGUGGCAAACUGAUACACCUAAUGUCAGGUGUUACAACCAACCAACCAACCCGCUGUAAUCCCAGCACUCUGGGAGGCUGAGGCAGGAGGAUUGCAAGUUCUCGCCUGGCAACUUGGCAAGACCCUGUCCUUUUUUUUUCUUUUCUUUUCUUUUUUUUUGGUACAGGGAAUCAAACUCAGGAGGACCUUGUGCUUGCCAGACAGGCGCUGUGCUGCUGAGCUAUAUCCCUGGCCAAGACCCUGUUUUAAAAUUAAAAAUUAAUUUGAAAAGGCAAAAGAUGCAACUCAGUGUGAAGGCCCCAGGUUUAAUCCGGAGGGAGGGAGGGAGGGGUGGGGGAGAGAGAGACAGAGAGAGGGAGAAAGAGGGAGAGAGAGAGAGGGAGAGAGAACUAGCAACCUAACUGCUUAUCAGU